UAUAUAUAUAUAUAUAUAUCGCUUUGGAUAAAAGCGUCUGCUAAAUGACUAAAU
rfam:Danio rerio chromosome 18, GRCz11 reference primary assembly.